AGAGUUUGAUCCUGGCUCAGAAUGAACGCUGGCGGCGUGGAUAAGACAUGCAAGUCGAACGAAAAGUGAUUUAGUUUACUAAUGAUCUUUUAGUGGCGGACGGGUUAGUAACGCGUGAGCAACCUGCCUUAAAGAGGGGGAUAGUCCUGGGAAACUGGGUUUAAUACCGCAUAAGCUCUACGGAGUAAAGUGGCCUUCGGGUCACGCUUUAAGAUGGGCUCGCGUCCUAUCAGCUUGUUGGUGAGGUAAUGGCUCACCAAGGCGACGACGGGUAGUUGGUCUGAGAGGACGAUCAGCAACACUGGAACUGAGACACGGUCCAGACACCUACGGGUGGCAGCAGUCGAGAAUCAUUCACAAUGGACGAAAGUCUGAUGGUGCAACGCCGCGUGUGGGAUGAAGGCCUUAGGGUCGUAAACCACUGUCAUGUGAGAGUAAGACAUAAUAGUUAAUACCUGUUAUGUUUGAUAGUAUCACAAGAGGAAGGGACGGCUAACUUCGUGCCAGCAGCCGCGGUAAUACGAAGGUCCCGAGCGUUAUUCGGAAUCACUGGGCGUAAAGGGAGCGUAGGCGGCGCGGUAAGUCAGAUGUGAAAUCUCAGAGCUCAACUCUGAAACUGCAUCCGAUACUGCCGUGCUAGAGUAAUGGAGGGGUAACUGGAAUUCUCGGUGUAGCAGUGAAAUGCGUAGAUAUCGAGAG
rnacentral:rRNA from 1 species